rnacentral:piRNA from 1 species
UCGAGAAUGUGUCUAGGAACAGACCCGA